rnacentral:rRNA from 1 species
GACGAACGCUGGCGGCGUGCUCAACACAUGCAAGUCGAACGGAAAGGCCCUGCUUUUGUGGGGUGCUCGAGUGGCGAACGGGUGAGUAACACGUGAGUAACCUGCCCUUGACUUUGGGAUAACUUCAGGAAACUGGGGCUAAUACCGGAUAGGAGCUCCUGCUGCAUGGUGGGGGUUGGAAAGUUUCGGCGGUUGGGGAUGGACUCGCGGCUUAUCAGCUUGUUGGUGGGGUAGUGGCUUACCAAGGCUUUGACGGGUAGCCGGCCUGAGGGGUGACCGGCCACAUUGGGACUGAGAUACGGCCCAGACUCCUACGGGAGGCAGCAGUGGGGAAUAUUGCACAAUGGGCGGAAGCCUGAUGCAGCAACGCCGCGUGCGGGAUGACGGCCUUCGGGUUGUAAACCGCUUUCGCCUGUGACGAAGCGUGAGUGACGGUAAUGGGUAAAGAAGCACCGGCUAACUACGUG